ACAGCUGGAGGCCCAAGGUUGGGAAACACUGGGUUAGAGCAUGGUGCUGAUAACGCUAAGGUUGCAGGUUCAAUCCCUGUAUGGGACAGCUGCA